rnacentral:lncRNA from 1 species
AGCAGCAGUCAGUUAGUUCCCGAUCAGUUCAGCAGCUACUUUGAGGUGAGUUACCUUCCAGUAGCGGUGGGUCUAAGGCCACAAUGCCGACCCACCAGUAGGAGUUGUAUGAUAGAUGAUUGUCUUUGUGAUAUCAUCUAAGUUCGCUAGUACCUGACAUGUUAUAUGCUAGCAUGAUAUGCUGUAUGUGAUAGUAGUAGAGUUUGGUUGUUCGGACCGAAGGGUAGUCAGACACCCCAGAUACGUCUGACAGUAUGUGACGAUAUGUAUGCAUGCUGGCUUGUUAUGUUAUAUGUGAUCGUAGUAGUAGGGGUGAAAUAGUCCCCGAGGAUCGGUUGUUAGGACCGAUGGGUAGUCAGCACCCCAGAAUGGCUUGACACGGGUAAGACGGCACCCCAGAAUGGCCGUAUGGGUAGGUCGGCACCCCAGAAUGGCCGUACCGGGUAGUCAGGCACCCCAGAAUAGCCUGGCAGUAUAUAUGUUAUGUGUUUGUAUGGUAUGCGGUACGUUGGGGGAACUCACUAAGCUUUGUGCUUACGUUUACAGUUUUGUUUUCAGGUACCUCUGCAUCGAAGGGGAAGGAGCCGGCGCGGUAGCGGCACGUCAUACACACACUCUUCGGUUUCCGCAUUUAUGAGAUUUACUGGGAUUGUACUCUGAUAUUUGAUGGGAUGUACGGUUUGGCUUUUGAGAACAUGGUUGCAAUGUGUUAUGGUGUGAACAAACAAUGUUUCUUUUUAUUUAGACAAUGUUUUUAUUUAUUAAUGUUUUCUAAAGUAAUAUCAAAAAAAAAAAAAAAUAAAAUUUGGGUCGUUACAAGUUGGUAUCAGAGCCCUGGUUUGAGGGAUUCGGACACGCCUUCGGGAGUGUUUGGACUCAAACCGAGGGAUUGAAAGAUUUUUCCAAAAGAAAUUAUUCUUUAAAACCCGGAAAAGAGUCACGAGAAAGAGUAAAGUGUGUGACGUGCGCGACCGGCCGAGCUCAAGUAAGUAUUCCCCAUAGUACCCAUACAAGUUUAUGUUAUGUUUAUCAGCUUUAUGAAUAUUGCAUGCUAGAAUAGGCUAAGGAUCUAGGAGUGAUGCCUUAUGUGCCUGUUUAUUUGUUCCAGCUUAUUGAAUAUUGCAUGCUAGAAUUGAGUAGACAGCAGUAGGGUAGCCUGUUUAGGUUAUGCCUGAUAGUAUGAGCUUAGCAUCCUAUGUUAAGUGUCGUUUCUUGUUCUAAGAACAGUUUUGGCUUGAGUCUGUUUUUCCUUAUCCGAAUGCUGCUUGCUUCGUGCUCGGUGGGAUUCUGAGUAAUGGGAGUGAGCCACUAGGUAAACACGUCACACCACAUGUAAUCAGGGUUGAAUAAUCCCAAAGUGUUGGAACUGGCCCUAUUGCGCAGCUCUUGUUUGAGUCCAACCGUUGUAGGGACGGAUCUUUUACUUGAAGGAUUAUCUAAUCCUCAUUACAUGUGAUGGUGUUUAGGUGGUGGCUAACUGGCAUUAUGAGGAGACCUACAGCAGCUGAGGACCAGUUGUGUUGAACUUGAGUUCUCCCUAGGGCAAGCCUAGGGUGAGAAUAUCGGAGAGUAGCAGUAGUAGAGGGGAGUUGGUGGAGUCGAGGAAUUCCUCGGAGAAGGUACGGAUAGAUGUGGAAGGUAGUAUGGGCCCGUACUACUGAAAGCAGAGGAUCCGUACCCGAGCCGAGGAAGGCCAAGACGAGACCAAGGAACCUGUAAGUAGUUGAGAUCCCUCAGAAAGUAGCAGUACCACUAAUGAUUAUUAUUGAUGUUUUGCAGAAUGGUGGUACUUCGACCGAGACCGACAGAUGGCGGGUCAGGAGAGGGGUCAGGUUCGGGAUCUGGCACCGAGCCGAUUGAGGAGAGGCUACGUGAGUUCAUCACGUCGGAGAUCACUAGGGGCAUCCUUGAGUCGACCCCCAUCAUCUUUGGGUCGAUCAAGGAAGGGAUCGUGGAGAUGAUGGAGGAUCGCCUACGGGCAUUCAGGAGCGACUUGGCCUCUAGCCAGUCAGGAUCUCGCACACUGUCCUUCAAGGACUUCAGGAGCAGUGGUGCGCCGGAUUUCCAUGGGGUGAAGGACCCCAUUGUCGCCAGGCGGUGGAUUGCGGAUAUCGAGUCCGCCCAGUUGAUCAGCUUCUGCCCCGAGGGGUCGAAGGUGAGGUACGCAGCAGGGUGUUUACGGGACCGGGCCCGAGAUUGGUGGGAGUCAGUGGGUGACUCGAUGGGAGCCUCGGCUGUCGAGGCAAUGACCUGGUCGGACUUUGUGACUAGGUUCAGGGCAGAGUUUGCGCCAGCGGUCGAGCUUCAGCAGCUGGCCAGGGAGUUCUUAGACAUGAGGCAGACGACAGAGACCGUGGCGGAGAUCACCGCCAAGUUUCGGGAGAGGGCUUUAUUGGUGCCCCAGUAUGCAGGUGACGAGGAUAUGAGGAGGACUCGUUACCACGACAUGCUACGAGCUGACAUUCGGGAGCAUGUUAGCUUUUCGGCUUGCCCUACCCUGGACUCCAUGAUUGCCAGGGCUAGGGAGAGAGAGAUAGAUUUGGAGCACAUCCGGAAACGGAAACUUGAGGAUGGUCAGUCAUCGGGGGCUUCGGGGAAGAAGCCCAAGGGAUCAGAUGGGAGGCCGAAAGGCCAGUCGGGACCGAGCCGCUGCAGGAGGUGCGGCAGGCCGCACGAGGGGGCGUGCAGGAUGGGAUCGUCAGGCUGCUACAAGUGCGGCAAGUUUGGGCAUAUCAGCAGGGAUUGCACUGCUCCUGCGACCGUUAUUCAGACAUCGGAGUUGCUGUGUUUCCACUGCAACCAGAGGGGCCACAAGAAGGCCAAUUGCCCCAUGUUGACAGCUUCAGCGCCAGUGAAGGCGCCAGCUCCAGCGACCCUGCGGAUCACGGAUGGCCGUCAGGGCAAGGCAGAGGCUCCAGUGGUGAGGAGUCGGGCAUUUCAGUUGACUGCCGAGGAGGCACGCGCCGCGCCCGAUGUGGUGACGGGUAUGAUUCCUUCCUUCUAUCUUUUAUUUUACGUUGUUAUGAUAUUGAUAUGUGCUCCGUGUGUAUACAUGUGUAUUAGGAUCGUUCCAUGUGAACGGCAUCCCGGUUCAGGUAUUGUUCGACUCGGGUGCAUCCCGAUCGUUCGUUUCUCUUGCUCUUAGCAAGAGAUUUCAUGAGACUUCAGGCGAGUUAGAUUGCCCGUUAGAGGUAGAGAUUGCCGAUGAUCGAUCGGUGCGAGCAUCGAUGGUGUUUCGAGAUUGUGUCCUGCGACUGUUUGAGGAGUGUUACCUGGUAGACUUGGUUCCCAUUCCAUUGCGUGGGAACAAGGUGAUUAUUGGUAUGGAUUGGUUGAGCCCUAAUGGGGCAGUGAUAGAUUGCGCACAGCAGCUAGUGCGAGUCAAGACCCCAAGCGGGGGAGAGUUAGUGAUUCAUGGAGAGCGGCCGCAGUGUGGACCCACUGUAUGUUCAGCAGCGAGGGCUAGGCGCUACCUUCAGCAGGGAUGCGCGGGUUAUGUCGCGUACGUGAUGGACACCCGGGAGGCGGGUAAGGCGACCGUGAGCGAGGUCCCGGUGGUUCGAGAUUUUGCUGAUGUUUUUCCGGAGGAACUACCUGGGAUACCUCCGGAGCGACAGGUGGAGUUCAGGAUUGACCUCGUUCCCGGUGCGGCUCCGAUAGCCAAAGCACCGUAUCGGUUGGCUCCUCCCGAGAUGCAGGAGUUGUCUACGCAGCUGCAGGAGCUGCUGGACAAGGGAUUUAUUCGGCCGAGCAGUUCGCCCUGGGGAGCCCCGAUUCUGUUUGUGAAGAAGAAGGAUGGGUCGCAUCGGAUGUGUAUAGAUUAUCGGGAGCUGAACAAGGUAACGGUGAAGAACCGUUACCCGCUUCCGAGGAUUGAUGACCUCUUUGACCAGCUUCAGGGCGCAUCUUGGUUCUCCAAGAUUGAUUUGCGUUCGGGUUAUCAUCAGAUGAGGGUCAGGGAGGAGGAUAUGCAGAAGACCGCGUUUCGGACGCGCUAUGGCCAUUACGAGUUUGUGGUGAUGCCGUUUGGGCUCACCAAUGCUCCUGCCGCGUUCAUGGACCUCAUGAACCGUGUAUGCAGACCGAUGCUGGACCGGUCUGUGAUAGUCUUUAUCGAUGAUAUCUUGGUUUAUUCCAAGACCCGGGAGGAACAUGAGGAGCAUUUGAGAGAGGUGUUAGAGACCCUGAGGAGGGAGAGCUUGUAUGCCAAGUUCUCCAAGUGUGAGUUUUGGUUGCGCGAGGUGCAAUUUCUGGGGCACCUCGUCAACCAGAACGGGAUUCUGGUCGAUCCGGCCAAGGUCGAGGCCGUGAUGAGAUGGGAGGUUCCGAAGUCCCCAUCUGAGAUUCGGAGCUUCCUAGGAUUGGCAGGCUACUAUCGGAGAUUUAUCCAGGAUUUCUCCAAGAUAGCCGUGCCCCUGACGCGGCUGACGAAGAAAGCCGUGGUCUUUCGGUGGGGACCCGAGCAGCAGGCUGCAUUUGAGACGCUGAGACAGAGAUUGUGUGAGGCGCCGAUCUUAGCCCUGCCAGAGGGCGUAGAGGAUUUCGUGGUUUAUUGCGAUGCGUCCAUUUCUGGGUUGGGCGCGGUGCUGAUGCAAAGGGGGCAUGUCAUUGCUUACGCUUCGAGGCAGCUCAAGCCUCACGAGGCGAACUACCCGACGCACGAUUUGGAGUUGGGGGCGGUGGUAUUUGCCCUCAAGAUUUGGCGACAUUACCUCUAUGGGGUUCGGUGUACCAUCUACACGGACCACAAGAGCUUGAGGUACCUCAUGGACCAGCCGAAUCUGAACAUGAGGCAGCGUCGGUGGUUGGAUGUGGUGAAGGAUUAUGAUUGCGAGAUCCUUUACCACCCGGGAAAGGCCAAUGUGGUGGCCGAUGCGCUUAGCCGCAAGACGGCGCCGAUCAGGGACGCCUGUUUGAGGAUGACUGUGGUGACUCCCCUGUUGGAGCAGAUUCGGGAAGCUCAACAGGAGGCUAUCAAGGAGGAGCAUCGGAAGAACGAGCGCGUAGUAGGUCAGGUUUCCUCCUUCGAUUAUGAUAGCCGAGGGUUAUUGACACUACACCAUAGGGUGUGGGUGCCGUAUCACGGGGGCGUGCGCCAGAUUUUGAUGGAGGAGGCGCACAAGUCCCGAUUCUCUAUUCAUCCCGGGGCGACGAAGAUGUAUAGGGAUCUUCGUCUAGACUAUUGGUGGCCCUGCAUGAAGCGGGAUGUGGCAUGGUACGUCGAGCGGUGCUUGACCUGCAGGAAGGUCAAGGCCGAACAUCAGAGGCCGCAUGGCAAGAUGCAGCCGUUGGACAUUCCACUGUGGAAGUGGGAAGAUAUCACGAUGGAUUUUAUCACGAAGCUUCCCAGGACCGCACGUGGAGUGGAUUCGAUUUGGGUCAUCGUGGAUAGAUUGACCAAGAGUGCUCACUUUAUUCCGAUUCCGGAGAGCAUAUCGGCCGAGAAAUUGGCCGACAUCUAUAUCAGGGAGAUUGUGGCACGGCAUGGGGUGCCAGUAUCGGUGAUCUCGGACAGGGAUGUGCGUUUUACUUCCAGGUUUUGGAAGAGAUUCCAUGACGAGUUGGGCACUCGUCUGCAUUUCAGCACCGCCUUUCACCCGCAGACAGAUGGACAGAGUGAGCGGACCAUCCAGACUUUGGAGGACAUGUUGCGGGCGUGUGUUCUGGAUUUCGGUGGUAGCUGGGAUACCUAUCUUCCUUUGGCUGAGUUCUCCUACAACAACAGCUAUCACGCGAGUAUCGACCGCCCUCCCUUCGAGAUGUUGUACGGACGGAGGUGUAGGACCCCGAUAUGCUGGGGUGAGGUUGGCCAGAGAGUUAUGGGAAGCACCGAAGUGGUGCUCAAGACGACUGAGAGGAUACAGCAGGUCCGGAGCAGGCUUCAGACUGCUCAGAGUCGACAGAAAAGUUAUGCCGACAAGCGUCGAUCCGAUUUAGAGUUCCAGGUCGGGGAUAUGGUCCUCCUGAAGGUGUCACCGUGGAAAGGCGUCAUCCGAUUCAGGAAGCGGGGCAAGUUGGGCCCGCGAUUCAUCGGACCGUUCAGGGUCUUAGCCCGGGUGGGCAAGGUAGCAUAUAGGCUGGAUCUGCCAGCCGAGCUUAGCCAGAUCCACAGCACUUUCCAUGUUUCGCAGUUGCGGAAGUGCCUAGUGGACGAUUCUGCAGUAGUACCUUUGGAGGAUAUUCAGGUUGAUGACAGCCUGAACUACAUCGAGCGCCCAGUCGCAAUCCUCGACAGGAAGUCGAAGGAUUUAAGGAACAAGAGGGUGGAGCUAGUGAAGGUGCAAUGGCAGCACCGCAAGGGUUCAGAGUGGACUUGGGAGCCGGUAGACGAGAUGAUGGAGCACUACCCCGAGCUGUUUCAGGAUCAGGCAGCAGACUUCGAGGACGAAGUCUAAAAUAAGUGGGGGAGAUGUGUAGCACCUGGUUUCCGGUAUGUGAAUUUUAUUUGAGCAUUGCCCUAAUUUAGCCUUAGACUCGGCGAGUCAUAGGGUCCGACUCGCCGAGUAGGGACGAGACUCAGGACGCGUUUUAAGUAGGCGACUCGACGAGUCCAUAUCCUGGACUCGGCGAGUCACCGCUGCGGGAUGAAACCCUAAGUUUCAAGGGUUUGCACCCUAUUUAAACUCUCAUUCCGCCCCAACUCGUCCCCAUUCACCCCCAGAACUCCCCCUACAUCGUUUUCCCUUGUUUUCUUGAGAGUUUGAGGUGUUCUUGGUGUGUUCUUGAAGGUUUUGAAGAGUAAGAGGAGUAGAUCAAGAAGAGGAGAAGGAGAUCAGCCAUCCUUGUGUCAUUUCAACAUUUCCUUUGAGGUAUAACCCGUUUUCCCCUUGAUUCUAUGCUUAAAACUUCAUUUGGGUCCUUCUUGGUCAAUUCCCCAAGUUUGCAUGUUCAUUAUAUGUUGUAAUAAGGCGUUUGGCCUUUGGAUCUAUGUAAGAUUGAGCUCCAGGAGCUCAGAUCUGUUAGCUUUUUGGCCUCAUGAGGCUUGUUAGCCCUAGAUCUACCAUUUUGAGACAUUUUGAGCCUUAUAAUCCAUAUUGGUGAAUAUCCACACGUAAAGUUGGAAACUUUACGUGUGAUUCGUGUCCUAGAAGUCCAGAUCUAUGAAUGGCAUGGUCUGGAACCGAGCAAAUCGGUAUAUUUAAGGAGUGCAUGGCGACGACUCGGCGAGUCGCAUAGGUGACUCGGCGAGUCUGGUCGCGAGUCACCGAAUUGGUCCCUUCUUCAUGUGUCGAGUUGAGCCUUGAGUCACAGGGGGUGACUCGGUGAGUUGGGAGCUGAACUCACCCAUGUUAGGACUCGGCGAGUCAAUGCCCUGACUCGGCGAGUCCAAGGCAAUCUUCAUAGCUCAAGAACAGACUCGGCGAGUUGUUCAUACAACUCGGCGAGUCUUAGCAUAAAGUGUUCAUCGGAUGAAGAUGAACUCGACGAGUUGUUCAUACAACUCGGCGAGUAGGAUGAAGGUGUUGAAUGGCAGUUAGAAGGUGAACUCGUCGAGUCAUAGCCCGACUCGACGAGUAGAACCAGGGACCCAGGACAUUGGUUUGCUAGGGACUCGGCGAGUGGUGAUCCACUCGGCGAGUCGGGUCAACUGAAAGUUGACUCCAGCUUUGGCUUAGAGUUAAUCCAGGGGUAAAAUGGUCAUUUUACCUAAAGGACAGUUAGCAGUGUUUGAUUGAGUAUGUCGUGGAAAUUGCAGCCGGAGGACUCCCGGAGCAGCAGCAGUCAGUUAGUUCCCGAUCAGUUCAGCAGCUACUUUGAGGUGAGUUACCUUCCAGUAGCGGUGGGUCUAAGGCCACAAUGCCGACCCACCAGUAGGAGUUGUAUGAUAGAUGAUUGUCUUUGUGAUAUCAUCUAAGUUCGCUAGUACCUGACAUGUUAUAUGCUAGCAUGAUAUGCUGUAUGUGUUAGUAGUAGAGUUUGGUUGUUCGGACCGAAGGGUAGUCAGACACCCCAGAUACGUCUGACAGUAUGUGACGAUAUGUAUGCAUGCUGGCUUGUUAUGUUAUAUGUGAUCGUAGUAGUAGGGGUGAAAUAGUCCCCGAGGAUCGGUUGUUAGGACCGAUGGGUAGUCAGCACCCCAGAAUGGCUUGACACGGGUAAGACGGCACCCCAGAAUGGCCG